ACCUGCACAGGCAGUGGCGUUGCGGGAGGACCCUGUGCUUGAAAAGCAGCAUCAUCCAUGACAGGCCAUGCGCAUGCCUGGCCUCUGCUCCAUAUUGAGUCCCUGCCUGAUGCUCUUCGAGCAUCCAUGACAAGACAGCCUGAAACAACAGCUGUCAAUGUUUCUGCUCACAGGACGUGCAGACACACGAGCGACCCAGGGGGAACUGGCUCCCGACAGAAGGAUCCAGCAGAUUUUAAGUGUUCCGAGAAGUGAGGUGUAGGUUUUUGCUAGGCUGUCACCUGGAGGAGACAUUUGGGAGCAAGGCCGUGUGUGGUCAAUACUGGCCCGAGGCAGGACGGCUCUCCCUGCUUCCUGGCUCAUACAGACAGAGAAAAGCAGCAGAUGGUGUCACAGGAUGGCCCUGGACAAAAAUGAAUGAAAGUAGGCAUUGCUGCUGGCUCCUUACAAAGCCCCGGAAAGAGCUGGAAUCCUAAGGAGCUGAGGCUUUCUGUGAGAGCCUGUCUGUCCUGGCGUGACCUCACCGCUCCAGGCGCUUCUCUGAGAAGUCAGGGGAUCUUGGUGCCACGCCCCCAGACCUGCGCUCUGGGAAGUGCCCGGCCCCUCCCAGCUCUGCAGGCUCUGUGCCUGAAACGCCACCAUCUGUCACGUGGACUCGAGGCUUCAGAGGCUCCAGGUGAAAAUGCAAGUGUUCCUGAUCCCAUUUCCAGCUCUUCACCCUGCAGACAGCCUUGGGCAUUUGCUCCAAGAGCUGGUCACGGGCGAUCCAGGCGUCCGCAGGCUGCGGCGGUAAAGCCAGAGGGUAAGUGUCUCCCCACCGGGCAGCAGCGUGGACAACGCGUGCACAGCAGCCUGGAUGGUGAGAGACACUGAAAGACUGUCCUCCACGGCCUUGUUCCUCGUACGUCUCUCGAAGGGCAGAUGCGAGACAACUGACCACGACCGCCGUUGGGUGGGGGACUCAUUUGUUUGAAUAUUUACUGUGGGCUUCUGUUAUUGUCACAACUUAAAUCAUUGUUUUUAAAAAGCAUUAUUCUUAAAAGGACAUUAUGGCAAAGACACAUGUGACAUUACAGGUAAUGAUGCCGAGGUGUGGACCUCCCGCUUCCU